UCCGCUCUUUUGGUGAUCGCCCUUAGGAUUUAUCCUUCGGGAGGAACGUCCGGGCACCGCUGGAACACUAUGCGGCUAACAGCCGUCACAUGCGUCAUAAUUCAUAAAACGUAUGAGGACUAGUGCCACAGAGACGAGUCCCGCUCACGCGGGAAGUGAAACGCCUCGGAGUACCGAGGAUUCGACUUCUGCCUUGCAGAAGACCAAUCGGUAAACUCAUGGUGGUGUAAGGAGGAUUUGGGUGCAUAGAACCUGUGUUGGUUCCGACAUACUAUGUACUCCUCCGCAUCGAGGUCGCGCAGCAACGCCGGCCCCAGAUAGAUGAUCACCCCUAGACAGAACCCGGCGUACAGGAGAGCGGAUCAA
rnacentral:RNase_P_RNA from 1 species